UUCAAACUCUCUUGAUAACAAACAUUCUGAAAUAAUUUAUUCUCCACCACUAGCUUUGUCUCCAUUAUACCCUUCACUUUCCCAAGGUGAAUGUGGGCUGGUCCCAAGUCAGGGCCAGCCAUUGCUCCCCUCAUCCUCCUGUAGAAACAUUCUGCUAACAUCUCUUAAUUAUAUAGUGUCCUAAGCCCAGCUUAGCUCAUCCAAGAGCUGGCUAAAUUUUCCUUACUGCAAGUCACACUACCUACAUAGUUGACCAAAGAGUUCAUAAAAGAACUGAAUCCCAAAGCUAUUAUUUCUCCUUUCCGAUUAUGAGAGAAAUUACAAUGUUAGUUUCACAGCAUUUUCCAUUUAAGAAAGGGAAACUAGACCCACUCUCCUGAGGGUCCAACUUUGUGCCCAGCCUGAUCCCGCUGGGCUAUUGCCUAAAAACCAAGUGGACAUAUAUGUGUGCAUUUGUGCAAGAGGGAGAGAGUUCUUAAUGCUGUGGAGAAAUAUGGUUUCUGACUUACUAGGAAAAUUGACCUGUUCUCAUGUUCCUUUGUAAUUACACAUGUAAGAUUCUCAUGCUUCUCCGUUUUUCUCCUCUAGCAAUUAUAGUCUAAGAAGAAACUUUUCAGUUAUAUAAAAAUCACCACCUGCUUUAGUUAUUUCUGUAGUUGUGACUGAGAAUCUCACCAUCCAGGCUCUUAAAACAGUGUCCAAGAAGGAUGCAAUAGGU
rnacentral:lncRNA from 1 species